rnacentral:rRNA from 1 species
CGGGGCGCAGCAGGCGCGAAACCUCUGCAAUAGGCGAAAGCCUGACAGGGUUACUCUGAGUGAUGCCCGCUAAGGGUAUCUUUUGGCACCUCUAAAAAUGGUGCAGAAUAAGGGGUGGGCAAGUCUGGUGUCAGCCGCCGCGGUAAUACCAGCACCCCGAGUGGUCGGGACGAUUAUUGGGCCUAAAGCAUCCGUAGCCGGUCCUGCAAGUCCUCCGUUAAAUCCACCCGCUCAACGGUUGGGCCGCGGGGGAUACUACAGGGCUAGGAGGCGGGAGAGGCAAGCGGUACUCGAUGGGUAGGGGUAAAAUCCACUGAUCCAUUGAAGACCACCAGUGGCGAAGGCGGCUUGCCAGAACGCGCUCGACGGUGAGGGAUGAAAGCUGGGGGAGCAAACCGGAUUAGAUACCCGGGUAGUCCCAGCUGUAAACGAUGCAGACUCGGUGAUGGGCUGGCUUCGUGCCAACCCGGUGCCGCAGGGAAGCCGUUAAGUCUGCCGCCUGGGGAGUGCGGUCGCAAGACUGAAACUUAAAGGAAUUGGCGGGGGAGCAC